CCUACGGGUGGCAGCAGUGGGGAAUAUUGCACAAUGGGGGGAACCCUGAUGCAGCGACGUCGCGUGAGUGAAGAAGUAUUUCUGUAUGUAAAGCUCUAUCAGCAGGGAAGAAAAUGACGGUACCUGACUAAGAAGCCCCGGAUAACUACGUGCCAGCAGUCGCGGUAAUUCGUAGGGGGCAAGCGUUAACCGGAUUUACGGGGUGUAAAGGGGGCGUAGGCGGUUAUGCAAGUCUGAAGUGAAAGCUCAGGGGUCAAACAUGGGACGGCUUUGGAAACUGUAUAACUGGAGGGCCGGAGAGGUAAGCGGAAGUCGUAGUGGAGCGGUGAAAGGCAUAGAUAUUAGGAGGAACACCGGUUGCGAAGGCGGCUUACUGGACUGUAACUGACGUUGAUGCUCGAAGGCGGGGGGAGCAAACAGGAUUAGAUACCCGAGUAGUC
rnacentral:rRNA from 1 species